CCUCCUUGUAAAUCUCAAAUUUGAUGAUGGACCACAGGUUCUCAAUGGGGUUCAGAUCAGGUGAACAAGGAGGCCAUGUCAUUAGAUUUUCUUCUUUUAUACCCUUUCUUGCCAGCCACGCUGUGGAGUACUUGGACGCGUGUGAUGGAGCAUUGUCCUGCAUGAAAAUCAUGUUUUCUUGAAGGAUGCAGACUUCUUCCUGUACCACUGCUUGAAGAAGGUGUCUUCCAGGAACUGGCAGUAGGACUGGGAGUUGAGCUUGACUCCAUCCUCAACCCGAAAAGGCCCCACAAGCUCAUCUUUGAUGAUACCAGC